AACGAGCAUCACAACUUCUUCCUCCCUCACAACCACCCCCUCCGUCAUCUUCUUUGCCAACUUCGACGGCAAAACCACCACAAACUCCACCUUUUCUUCCACAUCACGACGUCGACCCACUCUUCUCCCUCACACCGGCGACCACAUCAGCCACGCUACCGACGACCUCCCUUCGUCCUCCUCCUUUCGUUUUGUUCAGAUCUGACUGUCUCUUUCGUAUUCGUUCUUGUCGCCGUCGCCAUCUCUUGUUUUUCAAAAUCUAUGUCUCUGUUGUUCGAAAUCUGUAUAAAAGGUUGUUGCUGAUUGUAUUUUGGAGAAGAGUAGAACAUAAACGUAGGAGAGAACAGGUGAUGACGGCGACGACGAGACGUUGGUGGUGAGUAUUAAGAGCGACAAUGAUGAUGAUGUGAUUUGAAGUUCCAGACGGCGGAAAACGUUGGUGGGGGGCCAUCGGUGGUGGCCAGUGGGGGAGAAGAAGACUGAGAAGAGAGUGAGAAAGUUGCAGAGUUGAUUGGACAAAAUUGCCCCUCUUUUCUUUUUAAAUAGACAAAAUUGCCCUCAUUGAAAUUAAUAAAAAAAUGCCACACAAGGGAUGUAGAUGGGGGUUUUUCACAU
rnacentral:lncRNA from 1 species